rnacentral:rRNA from 1 species
CCGCGUCCGGACGGGAUAAGCGCUGAAUGCAUCUAAGCGCGAAGCCCGCCGCAAGAUGAGAGCUCCUUUUCGAGGGCCGUCCCAGACGAGGACGUCGAUAGGGCGCAGGUGUAAAGGCGGCGACGCCAAAGCCGAGCGCUACUAAUUGCCCGAACCUUU